rnacentral:rRNA from 1 species
UACGGAGGGUGCAAGCGUUAUCCGGAUUCACUGGGUUUAAAGGGAGCGUAGGUGGCUUUGUAAGUCAGUGGUGAAAUGUCGCGGCUCAACCGCGAAACUGCCAUUGAUACCGCUUAGCUUGAAUCACGUCGAGGUUGAUGGAAUAUUACAUGUAGCGGUGAAAUGCUUAGAUAUGUAAUAGAACACCGAUUGCGAAGGCAGUUCACUAGGCGUGUAUUGACACUGAGGCUCGAAAGCGUGGGGAUCAAACAGG